GCCCGGGUGGCGAAACUGGUAGACGCAUCGGACUUAAAAUCCGCCGGGAGCGAUCCCAUGCCGGUUCGAUUCCGGCCCCGGGCACCA
rnacentral:tRNA from 1 species